rnacentral:rRNA from 1 species
UGCAAGUCGAACGAACUCUGGUAUUGAUUGGUGCUUGCAUCAUGAUUUACAUUUGAGUGAGUGGCGAACUGGUGAGUAACACGUGGGAAACCUGCCCAGAAGCGGGGGAUAACACCUGGAAACAGAUGCUAAUACCGCAUAACAACUUGGACCGCAUGGUCCGAGCUUGAAAGAUGGCUUCGGCUAUCACUUUUGGAUGGUCCCGCGGCGUAUUAGCUAGAUGGUGGGGUAACGGCUCACCAUGGCAAUGAUACGUAGCCGACCUGAGAGGGUAAUCGGCCACAUUGGGACUGAGACACGGCCCAAACUCCUACGGGAGGCAGCAGUAGGGAAUCUUCCACAAUGGACGAAAGUCUGAUGGAGCAACGCCGCGUGAGUGAAGAAGGGUUUCGGCUCGUAAAACUCUGUUGUUAAAGAAGAACAUAUCUGAGAGUAACUGUUCAGGUAUUGACGGUAUUUAACCAGAAAGCCACGGCUAACUACGUGCCAGCAGCCGCGGUAAUACGUAGGUGGCAAGCGUUGUCCGGAUUUAUUGGGCGUAAAGCGAGCGCAGGCGGUUUUUUAAGUCUGAUGUGAAAGCCUUCGGCUCAACCGAAGAAGUGCAUCGGAAACUGGGAAACUUGAGUGCAGAAGAGGACAGUGGAACUCCAUGUGUAGCGGUGAAAUGCGUAGAUAUAUGGAAGAACACCAGUGGCGAAGGCGGCUGUCUGGUCUGUAACUGACGCUGAGGCUCGAAAGUAUGGGUAGCAAACAGGAUUAGAUACCCUGGUAGUCCAUACCGUAAACGAUGAAUGCUAAGUGUUGGAGGGUUUCCGCCCUUCAGUGCUGCAGCUAACGCAUUAAGCAUUCCGCCUGGGGAGUACGGCCGCAAGGCUGAAACUCAAAGGAAUUGACGGGGGCCCGCACAAGCGGUGGAGCAUGUGGUUUAAUUCGAAGCUACGCGAAGAACCUUACCAGGUCUUGACAUACUAUGCAAAUCUAAGAGAUUAGACGUUCCCUUCGGGGACAUGGAUACAGGUGGUGCAUGGUUGUCGUCAGCUCGUGUCGUGAGAUGUUGGGUUAAGUCCCGCAACGAGCGCAACCCUUAUUAUCAGUUGCCAGCAUUAAGUUGGGCACUCUGGUGAGACUGCCGGUGACAAACCGGAGGAAGGUGGGGAUGACGUCAAAUCAUCAUGCCCCUUAUGACCUGGGCUACACACGUGCUACAAUGGAUGGUACAACGAGUUGCGAACUCGCGAGAGUAAGCUAAUCUCUUAAAGCCAUUCUCAGUUCGGAUUGUAGGCUGCAACUCGCCUACAUGAAGUCGGAAUCGCUAGUAAUCGCGGAUCAGCAUGCCGCGGUGAAUACGUUCCCGGGCCUUGUACACACCGCCCGUCACACCAUGAGAGUUUGUAACACCCAAAGUCGGUGGGGUAACCUUUUAGGAACCAGCCGCCUAAGGUGACAG